CGGGGGGCCGGAGGGUGGAAGGCAGGGGGGUGUAGGAUGGGUAUCAGGACUUCCACUUCCCGUCCUUCCAUCCCCCGUUCCCCUAG
rnacentral:pre_miRNA from 1 species